UUUGCGUCGAAGGUAUACCGGUAAGGAGUGCUGGAGCGAAUAGAAGUGAGCAUGCAGGCAUGAGUAGCGAUAAUUAAUGUGAGAAUCAUUAACGCCGUAAACCCAAGGUUUCCUACGCGAUGCUCGUCAUCGUAGGGUUAGUCGGGUCCUAAGUCGAGUCCGAAAGGGGUAGACGAUGGCAAAUUGGUUAAUAUUCCAAUACCAACAUUAGUGUGCGAUGGAAGGACGCUUAGGGCUAAGGGGGCUAGCGGAUGGAAGUGCUAGUCUAAGGUCGUAGGAGGUUAUACAGGCAAAUCCGUAUAACAAUACUCCGAGAACUGAAAGGCUUUUUGAAGUCUUCGGAUGGAUAGAAGAACCCCUGAUGCCAUCGAGCCAAGAAAAGUUUCUAAGUUUAGCUAAUGUUGCCCGUACCGUAAACCGACACAGGUGGGUGGGAUGAGUAUUCUAAGGCGCGUGGAAGAACUCUCUUUAAGGAACUCUGCAAAAUAGCACCGUAUCUUCGGUAUAAGGUGUGGUUCGCUUCGUAUUAGGAUUUACUCCGAAAGCGAAGAAACUUACAACAAAGAGUCCCUCCCGACUGUUUACCAAAAACACAGCACUCUGCUAACUCGUAAGAGGAUGUAUAGGGUGUGACGCCUGCCCGGUGCUCGAAGGUUAAUUGAUGGGGUUAGCAUUAGCGAAGCUCUUGAUCGAAGCCCGAGUAAACGGCGGCCGUAACUAUAACGGUCCUAAGGUAGCGAAAUUCCUUGUCGGUUAAAUACCGACCUGCAUGAAUGGCGUAACGAGAUGGGAGCUGUCUCAAAGAGGGAUCCAGUGAAAUUGUAGUGGAGGUGAAAAUUCCUCCUACCCGCGGCAAGACGGAAAGACCCCGUGGACCUUUACUACAGCUUGACACUGCUAUUUGGAUAAGAAUGUGCAGGAUAGGUGGGAGGCUUUGAGUAUAUGACGCCAGUUGUAUAUGAGCCAUUGUUGAGAUACCACUCUUUCUUAUUUGGGUAGCUAACCAGCUUGAGUUAUCCUCAAGUGGGACAAUGUCUGGUGGGUAGUUUGACUGGGGCGGUCGCCUCCCAAAUAAUAACGGAGGCUUACAAAGGUUGGCUCAGAACGGUUGGAAAUCGUUCGUAGAGUAUAAAGGUAUAAGCCAGCUUAACUGCAAGACAUACAAGUCAAGCAGAGACGAAAGUCGGUCUUAGUGAUCCGGUGGUUCUGUGUGGAAGGGCCAUCGCUCAAAGGAUAAAAGGUACCCCGGGGAUAACAGGCUGAUCUCCCCCAAGAGCUCACAUCGACGGGGAGGUUUGGCACCUCGAUGUCGGCUCAUCGCAUCCUGGGGCUGGAGCAGGUCCCAAGGGUAUGGCUGUUCGCCAUUUAAAGCGGUACGCGAGCUGGGUUCAGAACGUCGUGAGACAGUUCGGUCCCUAUCUGCCGUGGGCGUAAGAAGAUUGAAGAGAUUUGACCCUAGUACGAGAGGACCGGGUUGAACAAACCACUGGUGUAGCUGUUGUUCUGCCAAGAGCAUCGCAGCGUAGCUAAGUUUGGAAAGGAUAAACGCUGAAAGCAUCUAAGCGUGAAGCCAACUCUAAGAUGAAUCUUCUCUAAGCUCUCUAGAAGACUACUAGUUUGAUAGGCUGGGUGUGUAAUGGAUGAAAGUCCUUUAGCUGACCAGUACUAAUAGAGCGUUUGGCUUAUCUUUAAUAAAGCAU
rnacentral:rRNA from 1 species